rnacentral:rRNA from 1 species
UACAGAGGUCUCAAGCGUUGUUCGGAUUCAUUGGGCGUAAAGGGUGCGUAGGCUGCGUGGUAAGUCGGAUGUGAAAUCUUGGGGCUCAACCCCAAAACUGCAUUCGAUACUGCCAUGCUCGAAGACUGAAGAGGAGAUUGGAAUUCACGGUGUAGCAGUGAAAUGCGUAGAUAUCGUGAGGAAGACCAGUGGCGAAAGCGAAUCUCUGGACAGUUCUUGACGCUGAUGCACGAAGGCCAGGGGAGCAAACGGG